rnacentral:lncRNA from 1 species
CCUCUCAUCCCUUGUAUUCCAGAGAUGUGCCGCCGUUUGAAAGCUGUGAGAGACACCACUCCACCGAAAGGAAGAGAGAGACUUUAUUGCAUGAAACUACUGCUUCCAGAUACUGGAAGACACAAAAACUUAUAACAGAGCAACCAAGAGAGCCCCAAGAAAGAGUUACGAGCUGAGUCACAGCUCGUAGAAGGUAUGAGAAAAUAUAAGAAUGAUUGGAACUUCAGCGUAUCACUUUCCGAAUGAUUUCUGCACAAAGUCGUCAUUUUUUACCUGGCUAGUAGCAUCAGCAGGUCUCAUCAGGUCAUCCACAAGCUGCUCUGAUCUCUCACCAGCACCUCCGCUAAUGCUGUUAUCUCAGGUAGUAGGAGC